UACGUAGGUGGCAAGCGUUGUCCGGAUUUACUGGGCGUAAAGAGCGCGCAGGCGGUCGUCCAAGUCGCGUGUGAAAGCCCCCGGCUCAACUGGGGAGGGUCACGCGAUACUGGUCGACUCGAAGGCAGGAGAGGGUAGUGGAAUUCCCGGUGUAGUGGUGAAAUGCGUAGAGAUCGGGAGGAACACCUGUGGCGAAGGCGGCCCCCUGGGCCGGCCCUGACACUGAGACGCGAAGGCGUGGGGAGCGAACAGG
rnacentral:rRNA from 1 species